rnacentral:rRNA from 1 species
AACGAACGCUGGCGGCAUGCCUAACACAUGCAAGUCGAACGAGACCUUCGGGUCUAGUGGCGCACGGGUGCGUAACGCGUGGGAACCUGCCCUUAGGUUCGGAAUAACUCCCCGAAAGGGGUGCUAAUACCGGAUAAUGUCUUCGGACCAAAGAUUUAUCGCCUUUGGAUGGGCCCGCGUUGGAUUAGCUAGUUGGUAGGGUAAAAGCCUACCAAGGCGACGAUCCAUAGCUGGUCUGAGAGGAUGAUCAGCCACACUGGGACUGAGACACGGCCCAGACUCCUACGGGAGGCAGCAGUGGGGAAUAUUGGACAAUGGGCGAAAGCCUGAUCCAGCAAUGCCGCGUGAGUGAUGAAGGCCUUAGGGUUGUAAAGCUCUUUUAACCGGGAUGAUAAUGACAGUACCGGGAGAAUAAGCUCCGGCUAACCCCGUG